rnacentral:rRNA from 1 species
AUUAGCUAGUUGGUGAGGUAAUGGCUCACCAAGGCGACGAUCCCUAGCUGGUCUGAGAGGAUGAUCAGCCACACUGGAACUGAGACACGGUCCAGACUCCUACGGGAGGCAGCAGUGGGGAAUAUUGCACAAUGGGCGCAAGCCUGAUGCAGCCAUGCCGCGUGUAUGAAGAAGGCCUUCGGGUUGUAAAGUACUUUCAGCAGUGAGGAAGGUGGAUGUGUUAAUAGCAGCAUCCUUUGACGUUAGCUGCAGAAGAAGCACCGGCUAACUCCGUGCCAGCAGCCGCGGUAAUACGGAGGGUGCGAGCGUUAAUCGGAAUUACUGGGCGUAAAGCGCAUGCAGGUGGAUGAUUAAGUCAGAUGUGAAAGCCCGGGGCUCAACCUCGGAAUAGCAUUUGAAACUGGUCAUCUAGAGUACUGUAGAGGGGGGUAGAAUUUCAGGUGUAGCGGUGAAAUGCGUAGAGAUCUGAAGGAAUACCAGUGGCGAAGGCGGCCCCCUGGACAGAUACUGACACUCAGAUGCGAAAGCGUGGGGAGCAAACAGGAUUAGAUACCC